GACGAACGCUGGCGGCGUGCCUAAUACAUGCAAGUCGAGCGCAGGAAGCCGUCUGAACCCUUCGGGGGACGACGGUGGAAUGAGCGGCGGACGGGUGAGUAACACGUAAAGAACCUGCCCACGGGUCUGGGAUAACCACGAGAAAUCGGGGCUAAUACCGGACGGGUCAUCGGACUGCAUGGUCCGAGGAUGAAAGGCGCUCCGGCGUCGCCCGUGGAUGGCUUUGCGGUGCAUUAGCUAGUUGGUGGGGUAACGGCCCAACAAGGCGACGAUGCAUAGGCGACGUGGGAGGGUGUUCGGCCACACUGGGACGGAGACACGGCCCAGACACCUACGGGAGGCAGCGGUAGGGAAUCUUCCACAAUGGACGAAAGUCUGAUGGAGCAACGCCGCGUGAACGAUGAAGGCCCUCGGGUCGUAAAGUUCUGUUGUAAGGGAAGAACAAGUGCCGCAGGCAAUGGCGGCACCUUGACGGUACCUUGCGAGAAAGCCACGGCUAACUACGUGCCAGCAGCCGCAGUAAGAC
rnacentral:rRNA from 1 species